rnacentral:lncRNA from 1 species
AUAUAUUCGGCAAGUCCAGGAGGAUAAAUUGACAGCAAGGCCAGAUACAGAACAUUUGGUCAAGUGAGCAAACACAGACUACCAACAACAACAAAAAAUCAACAACUAAAAGUGGUGACAUCACAUUUAAGUGAAGCCCUGUCAGAGACUUCUUCCUCACUGCCCACAUCAUUGAGUUAAACAUAAGGAGUGGGGCUGGAAGAAACAAGAACUUGGAGUUCCCAAAGCUGAUUCAUAUUUUGCAUUGGGAGUCGGGAGAGAGCCAUAGGAGUUGUUUUUAGCAUCUCUGUAAUACUCUUGGUAUGAUAUUCAUCAAGCAUG